GACGAACGCUGGCGGCGUGCUUAACACAUGCAAGUCGAGCGGUAAGGCCCUUUCGGGGGUACGACGAGCGGCGAACGGGUGAGUAACACGUGGGUGACCUGCCCUCAGCUCUGGGAGUAAGCCUGGGAAACCGGGGUACUAAUACUGGAUAUGACUCCAUGACGCAUGUUGUGGGGUGGAAAGCCUUGUGCGGCUGAGGAU
rnacentral:rRNA from 1 species